UCUCUCUUCCAGGUAACAGAGACCUCAGCGGGCGGGCGGUGCUGCAGGUGUGCACGCGGGGGAGGGUGUGGGCUGGGGAGAGCUGCACGGCCAAAGACCUCACCUGUCUUCUGGGUUACUACUAUACAACGCUCAGGAGCGAGAGGCGUGACCAAGGCCUUACGGUGCUAGUGGACACCAGGAGACAGCAGCCCAGUCCUGCUCUGUUCUCGUCUCUGUCUGGACUGCAGGCUUUAUUACCAAAUGCACUUUACUCCGUCCUGCUACUUGUGGACAAGGAGACAACUAUCAAGCCUGAAAGAGACAUUACUACUGUGCAGACGGAGCUCCUGACGUCCCUGAAGGCUCUGUUGAAGCACAUAGACUCCAGUCAGCUCACUAGAGAACUGGACGGAACAUUCCCCUACGACCACGAUCACUGGGUCGCCUUCAGACAGAAAAUUGAGCCGUUUGCCAGCAGUUGCAGCGUGGCUCUCUCCUCCCUCAAUCUUCUAUCUCUACGUUGAGCAGCACCAGCAACCUGGACAGCACCAAGG